AGGGAGAGAGUUGCAUACAGGCAUAUUGAAGAUGUUUAGGUAAAUAACACUGAAAAGUCAUGGUAGGCCAGAACCCGCAAUUUCCGCAGGAAGAAUAGGCAACAUAAUUUUGAUGUACGAUCUGCUGACCAAAUUCGAGGACAGAUGCAAUCUAUCCCAAGAUUCUUGCUUAGUUAUUGUUAUACUAGUAUGGGUCUCCAUAUGGUUAUAACCACCGAUUAGAAUAUAUUCUUGAUGAUGGAAGUGCUCAGGAUAUUUUUUGCAUUGUCAUGUGGUUUCUCGGAUGACACCUACUUAAUCUUAUUGCAGCACUUGAACUAAUCUUGUUGCUGUACUUGAGUUAGGUUUCUGUAAUUUAAAUCUGGUUCCAGACUCUGUUUUCUUUUUCAAUUACCAGAAAAAACAGUCCUGAUGCCUGACUUCCCAGUCCAAGUUAACUAUUACUAAAUACUGUUGACCGCCAGUGUACCAAUGGCAAUAUGUAGCAGAAGCCUUUUAAAACUCGAGCUGACACCCUGAUACCGGAAGGUCUUAUGUAGAGAAAUGCAACGCCAUCAUC
rnacentral:lncRNA from 1 species